rnacentral:lncRNA from 1 species
CCAUGGACCCAUUCUCCAUUUUAUUUUAACAAUUAAGAAUAUAAUGUGUCUGCAGUUGCUUGCAAUGAUUAUCAAAUGUAUUUAUGAUUUAUAAUUCUUGGAAACCCAUUUUUGAAGACCAAUUUGAGUUCCUGCAUGAAAAAAGUAUGACUCUAUAGGAAAAAUAUAUUUUAUUUUAUAUCUGUAUGUAAAAAUGAUUUCUCAUUAUGGACCUGUGGUAAUUGUUUUAUAAUAACAAUAAUACUAGUACACAUUUAGAAGUUAAAAUGACAUAAAAAGUUCA